rnacentral:tRNA from 1 species
UGUACAGAUGUUAGUUGGUAAAGCACUUGUCUAGCGAAUAAGGGUCGUGAGUUCAAAUCUCACCUGAGCUG